UCCACGCCCUAAACGAUGCACACUAGUUGUUGCUAUGCUAGACAUAGCAGCAAUGCAGUUAACACAUUAAGUGUGCCGCCUGGGGAGUACGGUCGCAAGAUUAAAACUCAAAGGAAUAGACGGGGACCCGCACAAGCGGUGGAGCAUGUGGUUUAAUUCGACGAUACGCGAAGAACCUUACCUGGCCUUGACAUAGAUAGAAUAUAGCAGAGAUGUAAUAGUGCC
rnacentral:rRNA from 1 species